rnacentral:rRNA from 1 species
AGUAGUUGAUCCUGGCUCGAGACGACGCUGGCGGCGUGCCUAACACAUGCAAGUCGAACGGGGAUUUUGUUUCGGCAGAAUCCUAGUGGCGAACGGGUGAGUAACGCGUAGGCAACCUGCCCCCCGGAUUGGGACAACACCCCGAAAGGGGUGCUAAUACCGGAUACGAAGAUAGCACCGCAUGGUGAUAUUUUGAAAGAUGGCCUCUAUUUAUAAGCUAUCGCCGGGGGAUGGGCCUGCGUCCGAUUAGCUGGUUGGUGGGGUAACGGCCUACCAAGGCGACGAUCGGUAGCCGGUCUGAGAGGAUGAACGGCCACAUUGGGACUGAGACACGGCCCAGACUCC